UGGGGAAUCUUCCGCAAUGGACGAAAGUCUGACGGAGCAACGCCGCGUGAGUGAAGAAGGUUUUCGGAUCGUAAAACUCUGUCUUUUGGGGCGAACGUGAGUAUGGUGAAUAAUCAUAGUCAGUGACGGUACCAAAGGAGGAAGCCACGGCUAACUACGUGCCAGCAGCCGCGGUAAUACGUAGGUGGCAAGCGUUGUCCGGAAUUAUUGGGCGUAAAGAGCGCGUAGGCGGGAUAGUCAGUCUGUUGUAAAGUGCGGGGCUCAACCCCGUGAUCGCAAUGGAAACAGCUAUUCUUGAGUGCAGGAGAGGAAAGUGGAAUUCCCAGUGUAGCGGUGAAAUGCGUAGAUAUUGGGAGGAACACCAGUGGCGAAGGCGACUUUCUGGACUGUAGUCUGGACGC
rnacentral:rRNA from 1 species